CAAGCCCACAGGAAGUUAGUGCCGGUGCGGCUGCAAGACACUGGAACCGUCACGGACCGCAGCGGGAACACGCCACUGUGCAGCUGCUCUGGAAGCAGUUCAGGGAACGUGCUUGAGAAGUUAAACAGAGUCACCGUGUGAGCAGCAGUCCACUCCCAGGUCACACCCCGGGGUUGAACAGCAACAACAGGAGCAGGUAACACACGUUCCCUGCUGGAGACGUGGGACGUUUAUGGAAGAGCAGAGGAGGAAAUGUAACACAGCCCCCUGGUCCUGAGGACACGUCUGUGCGCAUGUGCUGGACCCCUGGGACCAGGACAUAAAAGGCUGCCCUGCUGGGUGGCCACGUCAUGAGGACGCUCAAGCGCCCCUCAGGGAGGCCCCAGUGGCAGGGAAAUGAGGCCUCCUGCCAGGAGGCACGUGAGGAGCCCUGCUGGAAGCAGGCCCCCAGCCCCAGCCAAGGCUUCAAGUGAUGCGGCCCAGCUGACAUCUGACUGCAGCCCCGAGACCCCAACUUCCUCCCAGACUCUGCGAUUCCUGACCCGCAGACGCUGUGUGGGAUAAUAAACGCGUGUUUUAAGCUG